rnacentral:ncRNA from 1 species
UCGCGGGUGACUGCGAAUCUGAAGGAAGCCGGAAGCAAAUGGCUGGCCUGACGAACAGGAAGCGGAUGGAGGCGGCGUAGCGGGGUGAGGCGGCCCAAUUCGUCAAAGCCCGGUACUUGCACGGCACGCUACGACGUAGAUCCGCCAGGCAUAAGCUGGAAGGUCGCGCGA